AAACUCCGUUUUAGAUAAGGGCAACAUUGUUCUUCUUCUCGAAGAUUCAUCCUCUCUGGAUCUUCACCCUUAAAGAAUUUUCGAGCUUUCCGUCUCCCUUCCCGUGUAAAGUAAACUGGCAAUUCACCUCCAACCCUAUAAAUUAGAGAGCGAUAAGAGGAGGAAGGAUCUUCUCACAGGCAAUCUUCAAUCUAAAAAACCCUUCGUAAGUGUCUGUGUCCUGCUGUCGUUUCCCAAAUAACCAGUCCGCGAUUCCACUGUUGAAAAGUAGAUCUUUCUAAUUCAUUGUUGCUCGGCUCCUCCACUUUUGGGAUUCUGGAAACAUCAACAAGAAUGGUAAAUCCAUUGGAAUCACUCUACAUUCUUUGAUGAGAAGGUAGUGUCCUCGAGAACUUCAAUUGCAGAUCCGAGUCUCCGAUGAAUGGUCUGAGGAAGACGAAGCUCAAAUCAGUUAAUUGUACGACAUAGCCCAAUAACAGAAACAAACCGGGUAAUCAUAUCGCUGAUAUGUCAAAUUGAACUUCUUCUACGUCUGUUAAAAGGAGAGUUUGAGGAAUUGUUUGGUGCAGUGCAACGACCAGAAGCCUGGCCCUCUUUCCUAUUCCAUGAAACAAAGCUGAAAAGAGAAUUGAUGGGAGUGCAGGAGUUUAUGUUGAAAGCAGUGACCAAAAAGCACAUGGGCAUUUUUCAUUGCUCAAAGAGUGAAUUUGUUCGUCGCCCUCCUGCUUAUUUGAGUUCUUUGUUAAUGAAAUUUUGUAACCUGCAAUUUUUGGGUUGAUGGGUGAUAGGGUCUUGGCUUCAAGGCUAGCUGGGGGUGUUUUGUGGUUGUCUCUGUUUCUGAACUUGCAGCAGAGUCUCUGUAUUGAUGUAAUUGCUUGGUGGCAAUUUAUGAAAUUGAAAGAAUCUUUGACAAAAAAAGGCCUUAUCAAGUCAAGCAAGGAACUGGACUCUAUAAUGAAAUGCAUUAUAUGUGUAAUAUUCUGAGAAAGAACAUGAUGUACCAAGUACAGAGA